rnacentral:rRNA from 1 species
GACGAACGCUGGCGGCGUGCCUAAUACAUGCAAGUCGAACGAGUGGCGGACGGGUGAGUAACACGUGGGAACCUACCCAUCAGAGGGGGAUAACACUUGGAAACAGGUGCUAAUACCGCAUACUGAUGGAUGGCCCCGCGGUGCAUUAGCGAGUUGGUGAGGUAACGGCGCACCUAGGCGACGAUCCCUAGCUGGUCUGAGAGGAGGACCAGCCACACUGGAACUGAGACACGGUCCAGACUCCUACGGGAGGCAGCAGUGGGUAAGAUUGCACAAUGGGCGCAAGCCUGAUGCAGCCAUGCCGCGUGGGUGAAGAAGGCCUUCGGGUUGUAAAGCACUUUCAGCGAGGAGGCGUUACUCGCAGAAGAAGCACCGGCUAACUCCGUGCCAGCAGCCGCGGUAAUUC